CGCAGCUCUGGGGAUAGCUGUCAUACCUAUAUGUGACUCGAGUGACAGCAGCUUCAUGGGAUGCAGAUGUCGCGGACGAUCCGGAAAUGGUCUUUCAAGAAUCUCUCUGGAGAAUACUAUUGCUCCGCUUGUUUCCAUGACGCGGUGGAGAGCUUCACAUUCCCUAGUUAGAUCUAAGGAUUAUGUUGAUUAGCUUUCCCACUGCUGUGAUCAAAUAGACAAGAGGCAACUUCAGGGAAGAAGAUUCUUGUGGCUCACCGUUUGGAGAUAUAACCUGCUCAUACUCAGCCCUGGCAACUUCCGUGACACAUUCUAUGUCUAUGAGCCUGCCUGCUCAAGUAUCUUCUGUAAGUAGAAACAUAAAAUAUUUGUCCUGGGGCCUGGAGAGAUGGCUCAG